UGAAAGAGGAAAUAGAUUUUAAAUUGCAAAACAACAAGAUCAAAUAGAUCACUUGAUCGAUAGAACAACCAAUGGGGCCCCAGGCCUCAAUUCAGAUCGGUUUGGCAAGCAAACAUUUUUCCCAUUUAUUCAUAUUCAAGGUAAACUGUUUUCAACAGUUGUUGGCAACGCAGAGGAUAAAGACAUAUCUAAGGGACUAUUUUUAGAUUUUUAUUUACAGUUACUUUUACCUGAACCUGGUCAAGAAAGGUAGAGAGGAGCAGCAAAUGCUAGAAAAAUAAACUCAAACGCGCCUGGAAUAAGUUUUUGUGUGUUGAGGUUUUGUUAGAAGUGCGCAAUUGACGCCCGCCGUUCGAGCGCAAAAAUUCCACACAAAAUUCAAGGUGGAAAACUGGUGAGC